rnacentral:lncRNA from 1 species
CCUUCUAAUAGUUAAGCAGGCACAAUAACCCAACCUUUUUCACUAACCAAUACCCGAUGUUUAUUAUAACUUAUUAUAGACCAAAUAAAGAAUUACAUAAAAAAGUGUAAAAGAAGAAGUUACAACCAGAGGAAGCCUGAUUCUUGAUUUCCUCCAUGAGUUAUGGAAUAAACCACCGGAAAUGCCAUUUGUUUCAGAGCCUUUCUCAAACUUGAGUGUGUCAAAGUUCCCUAAGGGUCUCAAGGGACCACGAACAAUGCUUACACCCAAGUUUGCAUAACCAGAUAGAGAUAAGUGUGGUGUGGAAGGGCCAGCCCUUAUGUGUCCAAUUUCAGAGGGAUCUCAUGGAUCCCAAGGAAAGGCUCAAACACGAGGGGAUAAGUCUAAGAGUACAAUGGAAGUGCAGAAAUAGAGAUCUAAAACUUAGUUGAGAAUAGAGAGGGCUAAGGGUGAUUGAAAAAUAGUGGUAGUAAAGUUAACACUACAUAGAAUCAACAUUUUUGCACAAAGGGGUCAGGGGUUUGGG